rnacentral:rRNA from 1 species
UACGGGAGGCAGCAGUGGGGAAUAUUGCACAAUGGGCGCAAGCCUGAUGCAGCCAUGCCGCGUGUAUGAAGAAGGCCUUCGGGUUGUAAAGUACUUUCAGUCGUGAGGAAGGUGUUAAGGUUAAUAACCUUAGCAAUUGACGUUAGCGACAGAAGAAGCACCGGCUAACUCCGUGCCAGCAGCCGCGGUAAUACGGAGGGUGCGAGCGUUAAUCGGAAUUACUGGGCGUAAAGGGCACGCAGGCGGUUAAUUAAGUUGGAUGUGAAAUCCCCGGGCUUAACCUGGGAAUGGCAUUCAAGACUGGUUAGCUAGAGUCUUGUAGAGGGGGUAGAAUUCCAUGUGUAGCGGUGAAAUGCGUAGAGAUGUGGAGGAAUACCGGUGGCGAAGGCGGCCCCUGGCAAAGACUGACGCUCAUGUGCGAAAGCGUGGGGAGCAAAC